UACGAAGGGGGCUAGCGUUGUUCGGAAUUACUGGGCGUAAAGCGUGCGCAGGCGGCUUCUCAAGUCAGGGGUGAAAGCCCAGAGCUCAACUCUGGAAUUGCCUUUGAGACUGAGUGGCUUGAGUACGAGAGAGGUGAGUGGAAUUCCCAGUGUAGAGGUGAAAUUCGUAGAUAUUGGGAAGAACACCUGUGGCGAAAGCGGCGCACUGGACCACAACUGACGCUGAGGCGCGAAAGCUAGGGGAGCAAACAGG
rnacentral:rRNA from 1 species